CCUACGGGUGGCAGCAGUGAGGAAUAUUGGUCAAUGGGCGGAAGCCUGAACCAGCCAAGUAGCGUGCAGGAUGACGGCUCUACGGUUUGUACAUUGCUUUUAUACGGGAAUAACGCGCCUUACGUGUAGGGCUUUGCAUGUACCGUAUGAAUAAGGCACGGCUAAUUCCGUUCCAGCAGCCGCGGUAAUACGGAGGGUCCGGGCGUUAUCCGGAUUUAUUGGGGUUAAAGGGAGCGUAGGCCGCAUGUCAAGCGUGCUGUGAAAUGUCCGGGCUUAACCCGUGUCUUGCAGGGCGAACUGGCGUGCGUGAGUCCGCGGAAGGCAGGCGGAAUUCGGCGUGUAGCGGUGAAAUGCGUAGAUAUGACGAAGAACCCCGAUUGCGAAGGCAGCUUGCUGCAGCGGAACUGACGCUGAUGCGCGAAAGCGCGGGUAGCGAACAGGAUUAGAUACCCUUGUAGUC
rnacentral:rRNA from 1 species